rnacentral:rRNA from 1 species
UACAGAGGUCUCAAGCGUUGUUCGGAUUCAUUGGGCGUAAAGGGUGUGUAGGUGGCGCCGUAAGUCGGGUGUGAAAUUUCGGAGCUUAACUCCGAAACUGCAUUCGAUACUGCGGUGCUUGAGGACUGGAGAGGAGACUGGAAUUCAUGGUGUAGCAGUGAAAUGCGUAGAGAUCAUGAGGAAGACCAGUGGCGAAGGCGGGUCUCUGGACAGUUCCUGACACUGGGACACGAAAGCCAGGGGAGCAAACGGG